GUUCAGGUAUUGUACAUGGCUUGAAUACCUUGAUUACCAUAUAUGCUUUGAUGUGCUUCGUGGAGGUGAUUGUCCAUUCCUAACUGUUGGUGUGUCAUGUUCUCCAUAGGUUUAUAUGUUUCCAGGGCAUCCAAUGCCACCUGUCUCGGAAUGUGCCAUCUUGUUGCUACCAUGUUUCCAUGUUUCCAGGGCAUCCAAUGCCACCUGUCUCGGAAUGUUGGCACCGAGUUUGCCUACCAGGUACUGAUGGUUGGCAAAUCCCAUACGCUGAACGUAUUCAACGAUUUAGACAGACUUUUGGUUCGGAUGUAGCUACUCAAGAGAUGCAGUCGCUCAAUAACUGUUGACAUG
rnacentral:lncRNA from 1 species